rnacentral:rRNA from 1 species
GACGAACGCUGGCGGCGUGCCUAAUACAUGCAAGUUGAGCGCUGAAGGUUGGUACUUGUACCAACUGGAUGAGCAGCGAACGGGUGAGUAACGCGUGGGGAAUCUGCCUUUGAGCGGGGGACAACAUUUGGAAACGAAUGCUAAUACCGCAUAAAAACUUUAAACACAAGUUUUAAGUUUGAAAGAUGCAAUUGCAUCACUCAAAGAUUAUCCCGCGUUGUAUUAGCUAGUUGGUGAGGUAAAGGCUCACCAAGGCGAUGAUACAUAGCCGAACUGAGAGGGUGAUCGGCCACAUUGGGACGGAGAAAAGGCCCAAACUCCUACGGGAGGGAGCAGGAGGGAAUCUUCGGCAAUGGACGAAAGUCUGACCGAGCAACGCCGCGUGAGUGAAGAAGGGUUUCGGAUCGUAAAAAUCUGUUGGUAGAGAAGAACGUUGGUGAGAGUGGAAAGCUCAUCAAGUGACGGUAACUACCCAGAAAGGGACGGCUAACUACGUG